UACGUAGGGGGCGAGCGUUGUCCGGAUUUAUUGGGCGUAAAGAGCGUGUAGGCGGCCAGGUAGGUCUGCUGUGAAAACUCGAGGCUCAACCUCGAGACGUCGGCGGAAACCAUCUGGCUAGAGUCCGGAAGAGGAGAGUGGAAUUCCUGGUGUAGCGGUGAAAUACGCAGAUAUCAGGAAGAACACCCGUGGCGAAGGCGGCUCUCUGGGACGGUACUGACGCUGAGACGCGAAAGCGUGGGGGAGCGAACAGG
rnacentral:rRNA from 1 species